UACGUAGGGGGCGAGCGUUGUCCGGAUUUAUUGGGCGUAAAGAGCGUGUAGGCGGUUCGGUAAGUCUGUCGUGAAAUCCUGAGGCUCAACCUCGGGCGUGCGAUGGAUACUGCCGGGCUAGAGGAUGGUAGAGGCGAGUGGAAUUCCCGGUGUAGCGGUGAAAUGCGCAGAUAUCGGGAGGAACACCAGUAGCGAAGCGGACUCGCUGGGCCAUUCCUGACGCUGAGACGCGAAAGCUAGGGGAGCGAACGAGG
rnacentral:rRNA from 1 species